GGAUCCAGCAAAACGACGGCGUUUAGUUCACCUCCGAUUCGUGAAGGAUCAUCGAGAGGGUUUUGCAGAGGUUUACGCAGAACAACCAAAAACCUGGCGAAGCGCAGCAGACUUUCGAAUUCAAUUUCAGUCCCACCAUGAGAAAGGCUUCAAUUUCACUUCUCUCCCACUCCAAUCGCCUGAAUCUCCGCUCCAUUUCAUCCCUCAUUUCCGAUCCUCCCCCUUCUCCCCCUCCUUCUUCAUCUCCUCUCUCCGCCGCCCAUCUCAACCCCUGCUCCAAAUCCCAUGGCCUGUUCUUCAAACUCACCCGCUUCCAAGCAAACCCAUGUCGGAAUUUGGACACCCUUGUGGAGAAACGCCCUCAAAUUUCAUCCAGACAGAGGAAAAUCAAAGAGAAGUCCGAGCUGGAGGAGGCUUUUGAGUCUGCAAACACUGUCGAUGAAAUGCUCAGCGCGUUCAAAGACAUGGAAUCCGCUUUUGAAGAGAGGGAUCUUGGAUUGGCUUCCUUGAAAAUUGGUCUGAAACUUGACCAAGAAGGUGAGGACCCUGAAAAGACUCUGUUGUAUGCUUCUAGAGCUUUGAAAGCUUUGGACAAUGAUGAUAAUGGUGGUAAACCUUCUCUACUUGUUGCUAUGACUUUGCAAUUGAUGGGUUCUGUUAAUUAUAGCUUGAAAAAGUUUAGUGAUAGUUUAGGGUACCUGAAUAGGGCUAAUAGGGUACUGAGUCAGUUAGAGGAGAAGGGGUUUAGUGCUGCUGAGGAUAUUAGACCUGUGCUUCAUGCUGUGCAACUUGAGUUGGCAAAUGUUAAGACUGCAAUGGGGAGAAGAGAAGAAGCUCUUGGUAAUCUUAGGAAGUGUUUGGAGAUCAAGGAGUUGACCUUGGAGAAGGAUAGUAGAGAAUUAGGGAAGGCGAAUCGUGAUUUGGCGGAAGCUUAUGUUGCUAUUUUGAACUUCAGGGAUGCGCUUCCGUUUUGUAUGAAGGCAUUGGAGAUACAUAAGAUGCAGUUGGGGCAUAAUUCAGUUGAAGUAGCCCAUGAUAGGAGGCUUCUAGGGGUGAUUUAUACUGGGUUGGACGAACAUGAGAAGGCAUUGGAGCAGAAUGAAUUGUCUCAGAAGGUUUUGAAGAACUGGGGCCUUAAUUCCGAUUUGCUUUGUGCGGAAAUUGAUGCUGCUAAUAUGCAAAUUGCCCUGGGUCGGUACGAUGAAGCCAUUAGUACUCUCAAGGAUGUUGCUCAACGUACAGAUAAAGACAGUGAAACUCGGGCAGUGGUGUUUAUCUCAAUGGGAAAAGUGUUGUGUAAUCAGGAAAAGUUUACUGAUGCAAAGAGAUGUUUGGAGAUUGCUAGUGGAAUUUUUGACAAGAAAGAAGCAACUUCUCCAGUGGAGGCUGCUGAGGCGUAUUCAGAAAUAUCGAUGCAAUAUGAGACAAUGAAUGAGUUUGAAACUGCGAUUUCUUUAUUGAAAAGAUCUCUAGCUGUGCUCGAGAAACUUCCACAAGAGCAACACUCAGAGGGUAGUGUUUCAGCUAGAAUAGGGUGGUUACUACUGUUGACCGGUAAGGUUCAAGAAGCUAUUCCAUACUUGGAGGGUGCAGCAGAGACUUUGAAGGAGAGUUUUGGUUCCAAGCAUUUUGGAGUUGGAUAUAUAUACAAUAACCUCGGGGCAGCAUAUCUAGAGCUCGAGAGACCUCAAUCGGCCGCGCAGAUGUUUGCAAUGGCAAAGGACAUUAUGGACGUAUCACUUGGCCCUCAUCAUGCAGAUUCAAUUGAAUCAUGUCAGAAUCUUUCAAAAGCAUAUGGUGCAAUGGGAAGUUAUGCCCUUGCAAUUGAUUUCCAAGAGCAAGUGGUUGAUGCUUGGGAAAGCCAUGGCUCAAGUGCAGAAGAUGAACUUAAAGAAGCCCAACGGAUGCUUGAACAAUUAAAGAGGAAAGCACACGGUACGUCAAAACCCGAGCUUUCGACGAAGGCCUUGCCACUACCUCAUUCCCCAACAUCUUCCAAAAGUUUGCAGCCCAAUAUUCCCGGCAGUCAGAAGCAACUAUAGCCGCAACACAGUAAAUCUGAUAAGCUAUUUUACAACUCCAGAUAAGUCGAUAGAUCGGGUCACACCUCUCAGUAUUCGGCUAUACUGAAACACACUGGACUCCCAACUUCCAACUUUCCAAUGGCCAUUCAUUGCUACAACUCUCAUUUUAUGCUCUGAAAACCCGCACGCAAAACGAGAAAGAUGGAACCUUGCUCAAAGGCGGUUCAUUGAGUCGGUCAUUUUCGAAUGUGAAUGAUAUCAUUUAGAGCAACUAGACUGAAGGUGACGUCUCGGGCUGGUAAGAUUUUACGCGUUGUAUUGAAUUAAAUUACACGCUCGACACCGGAACGGAUAAUAUUCGAGAUUAUGCGGGACUAUACACAAAAGAUCCUUUUUUGGAUAAAGAUGUGGCUCUCCUCCCGAUAACUUCCCAAC